AGAGUUUGAUCAUGGCUCAGAAUCAACGCUGGCGGCGUGCCUAACACAUGCAAGUCGAACGCGAAAGCCCGCAAGGGUAAGUAGAGUGGCGCACGGGUGAGUAACACGUGGACAACCUGCCUUCGAGUGGGGAAUAACCUUCCGAAAGGAGGGCUAAUACCGCAUAACACCUCGGAACACAAGUUCUGGGGUUGAAAAGAGCAAUUUGCUCGAAGAGGGGUCCGCGCCUGAUUAGCUAGUUGGUGAGGUAACGGCUCACCAAGGCUUCGAUCAGUAGCCGUCCUGAGAGGGAGCACGGCCACACUGGAACUGAGACACGGUCCAGACUCCUACGGGAGGCAGCAGUGGGGAAUUUUUGGCAAUGGGCGAAAGCCUGACCAAGCAACGCCGCGUGGGUGAUGAAGUAUCUUGGUACGUAAAACCCUUUCGGCAGGGACGAACCUAAUGACGGUACCUGCGAAGAG
rnacentral:rRNA from 1 species